UACGAGGGGGGCUAGCGUUGUUCGGAAUUACUGGGCGUAAAGCGCACGUAGGCGGCUUUGCAAGUUAGAGGUGAAAGCCCGGGGCUCAACUCCGGAAUUGCCUUUAAAACUGCAUCGCUAGAAUUGUGGAGAGGUAAGUGGAAUUCCGAGUGUAGAGGUGAAAUUCGUAGAUAUUCGGAAGAACACCAGUGGCGAAGGCGACUUACUGGACACAUAUUGACGCUGAGGUGCGAAAGCGUGGGGAGCAAACAGG
rnacentral:rRNA from 1 species